rnacentral:rRNA from 1 species
AAAUUGAAGAGUUUGAUCAUGGCUCAGAUUGAACGCUGGCGGCAGGCCUAACACAUGCAAGUCGAGCGGUAACAGGAAGCAGCUUGCUGCUUCGCUGACGAGUGGCGGACGGGUGAGUAAUGUCUGGGAAACUGCCUGAUGGAGGGGGAUAACUACUGGAAACGGUGGCUAAUACCGCAUAACGUCGCAAGACCAAAGAGGGGGACCUUCGGGCCUCUUGCCAUCAGAUGUGCCCAGAUGGGAUUAGCUAGUUGGUGAGGUAACGGCUCACCAAGGCGACGAUCCCUAGCUGGUCUGAGAGGAUGACCAGCCACACUGGAACUGAGACACGGUCCAGACUCCUACGGGAGGCAGCAGUGGGGAAUAUUGCACAAUGGGCGCAAGCCUGAUGCAGCCAUGCCGCGUGUAUGAAGAAGGCCUUCGGGUUGUAAAGUACUUUCAGCGGGGAGGAAGGUGUUGUGGUUAAUAACCGCAGCAAUUGACGUUACCCGCAGAAGAAGCACCGGCUAACUCCGUGCCAGCAGCCGCGGUAAUACGGAGGGUGCAAGCGUUAAUCGGAAUUACUGGGCGUAAAGCGCACGCAGGCGGUCUGUCAAGUCGGAUGUGAAAUCCCCGGGCUCAACCUGGGAACUGCAUUCGAAACUGGCAGGCUUGAGUCUUGUAGAGGGGGGUAGAAUUCCAGGUGUAGCGGUGAAAUGCGUAGAGAUCUGGAGGAAUACCGGUGGCGAAGGCGGCCCCCUGGACAAAGACUGACGCUCAGGUGCGAAAGCGUGGGGAGCAAACAGGAUUAGAUACCCUGGUAGUCCACGCCGUAAACGAUGUCUACUUGGAGGUUGUGCCCUUGAGGCGUGGCUUCCGGAGCUAACGCGUUAAGUAGACCGCCUGGGGAGUACGGCCGCAAGGUUAAAACUCAAAUGAAUUGACGGGGGCCCGCACAAGCGGUGGAGCAUGUGGUUUAAUUCGAUGCAACGCGAAGAACCUUACCUGGUCUUGACAUCCACGGAAGUUUUCAGAGAUGAGAAUGUGCCUUCGGGAACCGUGAGACAGGUGCUGCAUGGCUGUCGUCAGCUCGUGUUGUGAAAUGUUGGGUUAAGUCCCGCAACGAGCGCAACCCUUAUCCUUUGUUGCCAGCGGUUAGGCCGGGAACUCAAAGGAGACUGCCAGUGAUAAACUGGAGGAAGGUGGGGAUGACGUCAAGUCAUCAUGGCCCUUACGACCAGGGCUACACACGUGCUACAAUGGCGCAUACAAAGAGAAGCGACCUCGCGAGAGCAAGCGGACCUCAUAAAGUGCGUCGUAGUCCGGAUUGGAGUCUGCAACUCGACUCCAUGAAGUCGGAAUCGCUAGUAAUCGUGGAUCAGAAUGCCACGGUGAAUACGUUCCCGGGCCUUGUACACACCGCCCGUCACACCAUGGGAGUGGGUUGCAAAAGAAGUAGGUAGCUUAACCUUCGGGAGGGCGCUUACCACUUUGUGAUUCAUGACUGGGGUGAAGUCGUAACAAGGUAACCGUAGGGGAACCUGCGGUUGGAUCACCUCCUUA